rnacentral:rRNA from 1 species
UACGAAGGGGGCUAGCGUUGUUCGGAUUUACUGGGCGUAAAGCGCACGUAGGCGGAUUCUUAAGUCAGGGGUGAAAUCCCGAGGCUCAACCUCGGAACUGCCUUUGAUACUGGGGAUCUUGAGUUCGGGAGAGGUGAGUGGAACUGCGAGUGUAGAGGUGAAAUUCGUAGAUAUUCGCAAGAACACCAGUGGCGAAGGCGGCUCACUGGCCCGAUACUGACGCUGAUGCACGAAAGCUGGGGGAGCAAACAGG